rnacentral:rRNA from 1 species
UACAGAGGUCUCGAGCGUUAGGCGGAAUCACUGGGCUUAAAGCGUGUGUAGGCGGAUCGUUAAGUGCCUUGUGAAAUCCCACGGCUUAACUGUGGAACGGCUGGGCAUACUGGCGGUCUUGAGCCAUCUAGGGGCGACUGGAACAAACGGUGGAGCGGUGAAAUGCGUAGAUAUCGUUUGGAACGCCAAUGGUGAAAACAGGUCGCUGGGGAUGAGCUGACGCUGAGACACGAAAGCCAGGGGAGCAAACGGG